CUUCAUGAGAUGCGGCGCCAAGCUCCGACUGGCCGCACACCAACCCCAUGCUUCACGGGUGGUUCGGAUGAGGAAGUGACCGGUGGAAACGUUCCACGGUAAGAGCACGCA
rnacentral:ncRNA from 2 species